rnacentral:rRNA from 1 species
GACGAACGCUGGGCGGCGUGCCUAACACAUGCAAGUCGAACGGAGUACCUUCGGGGUGCUUAGUGGCGAACGGGUGAGUAACGCGUGAGAAACCUACCUUUCAGUGGGGGACAACAGUUGGAAACGACUGCUAAUACCGCAUAAUGUUAUCGUGGGGGCACUCCCCGGGUAACCAAAGAUUUAUUGCUGAAAGAUGGUCUCGCGUCUGAUUAGCUAGUUGGUGAGGUAACGGCUCACCAAGGCGACGAUCAGUAGCCGGUCUGAGAGGAUGAACGGCCACAUUGGGACUGAGAUACGGCCCAGACUCCUACGGGAGGCAGCAGGUGGGGAAUAUUGGGCAAUGGGGGAAACCCUGACCCAGCAACGCCGCGUGAAGGAAGAAGGCCUUCGGGUUGUAAACUUCUUUUACCAGGGACGAACAAAUGACGGUACCUGGAGAAAAAGCAACGGCUAACUACGUG